UAGUCUAACGUGAUUAGAAAUCAGCCAAACUCUGGCUUCUCUUGAGCUAUACUCCCCCACAGGCUGAAUUAUAGCUCUCCUACCAGUCCCACGGCACUGAAUGAUGUCAUGGGAUCUGCAGCUCAGCGAGAUGAAAGGGAUAAAGCAGGACCCGCUGGCACUAGGAAAAGCUUCCAACACACAGUCCACAACACAGCUUGGGAACCAAAAAAGCUACAGAUCCAGCCACUCAGCCCAAGCAUGGCAGAACUACCAGCAUUGCCUCAUUGCAAAAAAGAGGAAGAAAACAACGUGAUCCAUGUUUAACAAAAGAAUGUGUGGACUAGGAGGCAGGAGGGUGACUACCUGCUGAAAGUGAACUUUCUUGAUAUCCAUGCAUAUAUAUAAACCCAGUCCUGCCUUUGAUGUUCAGCAACUGAUCACUGAUCAGAUUACAGGCAUUUCAUCUCCCUGCUCGUCUGCCUUUGAUCUGCAGGGUUAAUUUUAUUUUCCUGGAUUUGAAGUUUCGUCUGGGCUUGUGCUGACAUACAUUUUUGGGAAGGUAGAAGCAUUUGGCACAGAAGUGCUGCCAGGAGGAACUAAGUUGCCGAACGGAACGCUUCAACAAUAAAUACAUUUGAUAAAGAAAGAUGGCUUUAAAAGUACUACUAGAACAAGAGAAAACGUUAUUCACUCUUGUAGUAUUACUAGGUUAUUUGUUGUGUAAAGCGACUUGUGAAACAGGAGACUGUAGACAGCAAGAAUUCAGGGAUCGCUCUGGAAACUGUGUUCCCUGCAGCCAGUGUGGGCCGGGCAUGGAGUUGUCUAAGGAAUGUGGCUUCGGCUAUGGGGAGGAUGCGCAGUGUGUGACGUGCCGGCUGCACAGGUUCAAGGAGGACUGGGGUUUCCAGAAAUGCAAGCCGUGUCUGGACUGCACACUGGUGAACCGCUUUCAGAAGGCAAAUUGUUCAGUCACCAGUGAUGCCAUCUGUGGGGACUGCUUGCCAGGAUUUUACAGGAAGACAAAACUUGUUGGCUUUCAAGACAUGGAGUGUGUGCCUUGUGGAGACCCUCCCCCUCCUUACGAACCGCACUGUGCCAGCAAGGUCAACCUGGUGAAGAUCGCAUCCACGGCCUCCAGCCCACGGGACACAGCACUGGCUGCUGUCAUUUGCAGCGCUCUGGCCACCGUCCUGCUGGCUCUGCUCAUCCUCUGUGUCAUCUAUUGUAAGAGACAGUUUAUGGAGAAGAAACCCAGCUGGUCUCUGCGAUCACAGGACAUUCAAUACAACGGUUCUGAGCUGUCGUGUUUUGACAGACCUCAGCUCCACGAAUAUGCCCACAGAGCGUGCUGCCAGUGCCACCGGGACUCAGCACAGACCUGCGGGCCGGUGCACUUGCUCCCAUCCUUGUGCUGCGAUGAGGCCUGCAGCCCCGACCGGGCGACUCUCAGCUGUGGGAUGCAUUCUGCAGCCAGUCUUCAGGCGAGAAACGCAAGCCCAGCUGGGGAGAUGGUGCCGACUUUCUUCGGGUCCCUCUCACGGUCCAUCUGUGGCGAGUUUUCAGACGCCUGGCCUCUGAUGCAGAAUCCCGUGGGUGGUGACCACAUCUCUUUUUGUGAUUCUUAUCCUGAACUCACUGGAGAAGACAUUCAUUCUCUCAAUCCAAAAAAUGAAAGCUCAACGUCUUUGGAUUCAAAUCAUAGUCAAGAUUUGGUUGGUGGGACUGUUCCAAUCCAAGCUCAUUCUGAAAACUUUACAGCAGCUACUGAUUUAUCUAGAUAUAACAACACACUGGCAGAGCCAGCAUCAACUCUGGAUGCACUCACUAUGAGACACCAGCUAGGUCAAGAGAGUGGCGCUGCCAUCCACCCAGCCACUCAGACACACCUCCAGCUGUUGUUUUCUGGAUCACUCUGCUUUAACUGAUUGGUUGAUUUGGUUGGAAAUUGAUUGUUGGUUGUGACCUGAGGCCACGUCCUAAGACCCUCUCAGGCGGAAUGGUUUAAAAUCAGGUUUGGGUGGAGCGAAGGUGGCACCUGCAGAGAAAUGGGGGCUGUCUGCAUGCUGCAAAGCUAGAGGCAGCAAAGGAUUCCGGGUAACUGAGCACAUCUCUGCUUUCUCCAGGAAGCUUAAAGGGCCUGCUUCUUUCUGCAGUUGAAGGGUAUGCUGGCACCCAAAGAGUACUCCUUUGUUAAGCUUAUGGACUGAGCAGUCUGGACCUUGCAUGGCUUCUGGGAAAAAAUAAAUCUGAACCAAACUGAUGGCGUUUUAAGCCUUUCAGCCAGUUGCUUCUGAGCCAGACCAGCUGUAAGCUGAAACCUCAAUGAAUAACAAGAAAGGGCUGUAGGCCAACUUAGGAUAUUCUGCGUCUUUCCUACAUAAGAAGCUUCUCUGCCACAAAAGUGACUUCAAAGACGGAUGGGUUGAGUUGGCAGCCUAAGAGAUUGGGGACAUAUAACAAGAAACAGAAAUGCCUUCAUGCUUUUUUUCAUGGUGAAUAUGGUUGUACAAGACUGAAGACUCAGAGUAUACUUUUGCUUUCCAGAAAUAUUUUCAUAUCGCCUAUGAAAUGUCAGAUAAAUUACCUUGGCUUUCAUGUAGAAUGGGUUCAAAAGUGAGUGUUGCUAUUUGAGAAGGAUACUUUUUCAUCAUCUAAACUGAUUCGCAUUGGUGGUUAGAAUGGCCCACAAGCUGCCUGCCUAAAUCUUGGGUUUAUUAGAUGAGGUUAACUGAAUCAGAGGAAUCAGACAGAGGAAGAUAGCUUUUUCCAGAGUCCACACUUCUGACCUCAGCCUCCGUCUCACGAACACCUGCUGGUGCUGAUCUCAGGAGAGCACCUGGGCUGGGGAUUGUGGUAGAGAAAAGGUAGCCCAUUGCCCGGAGUUACCACAGUGUAGAGACUUGUAUGCCAAGGCUGGCAUAUUUAUAUGAAAAUUAGUUGAUAUAGAAACAUUUGUUGCAUCUGUCCCUCUGCCUGAGCUUAGAAGAUUCAGAAUUUCUUUUAUAGAAAAAGGGUAUUUAUAAACAUAAAUGAUCUUUUACUUGCAUUGUAUCUUGUACUAAAGGCUUUAGAAAUUACAACAUGUCAGGUUCCCCUCCUACUGAAGUAGUCUUCCAUGAGAACAUACCAUGUUAGGACUAGAAGAAAACACACAAUUUGUAGGGGUUUAGAUGAACCAGCUGUAACCGCCCUCGUGUAGUUUGACCAGGACCAGAUUAGUUAGCAUAUCAUCUCCUACUUUAGCCAUCUGAUGUGGGAGUUAAGAGGAUGGUGCUUCUUUCUAUUAAGGUGCUCCAUCCCCUACCUGCUCGGUAUUUACACACUAGCAUUGUCUCUAGAGCUAAGACAGAAAUUAACCCUGUUCAGUCACGAAAUAAGGAAUGAUUUAUUUGCCCUUAAUCUUUAUGCCCUGGAGAGGACUUAGUUGAAGAGGGUUUAUUUUUUAGACUUUUGAACAUCAGUAUGUUCGAGUGCACUAUGAACUGCCCUGCCCAAGGCACUGUCUUUUAACAUUUAAACUGAAUAUUAAAAUGCAUCCAUCUUUCCUAGGACAUUUGUAUCUUCUCACAUAUUACCCAUGUUUUUCUCUCUUUGUGAGGUAUGAGUAAAUUUUAAUGAGCCCUCUCUCCUGUGGCCUUUUCUCCACAGUUUUAGGUUCUGAUAUGUGUUUACUAGCUCACCUGUGUCUGGUACAUCUCAUGACCUCAAUUCCCUCAUCUGAAAUAGGAAAUAAGAGUGUUUCACUGCAACGGGCAAUCUGCCCUGUCAACCUAGUGCCCAGUCAUAGUUAAUUGACUUUUCCUGUUUUCCUUUUUUUUUUUAAAGGAUAAACUAGUGGUCCUUUGGUAGUCAUGAACUCUUAGGAGAAUUGCCUUUAGGAUAUGUAAAAUAGUUAGGGUUUGGCCACACAAUGGCUAUGAAAAUGCAAGUAGAGUUUCCUCGUGUGCCCUCACCGUGAUUCACAUACGCUGUUUGCAGUCUGGCCCUGUCUGAUACCGCAGAGGGAUGAUGGAAGCGGGCAGGGCUGUGUUCCUGGUGGAGCCUGUCUAUAUUUUCCAUAUGUAGAGCCCUGAUUAACUUCAAGGACAAACACUUGCUGGAGAAAGUCAGACUGAUGGGAAUGAGACUUUGGCCAAAAAUCCUAAAACAUAAUUUUCCAUCAGUAGAGAGUUGAAAAAUGAUUUCGUUUUCUACUGAAUUGGAUAAACCCUGGGUAAUUUUUAUCAAAGUGAAGAUAUUUUACUCUACCUGCUCUAGAAAUAUACAGAAAUGUUCUAUUUUACACUGUUUGUGUAACAUUUUGUAAACAUUUGAGAAAAAAAAUCGUUUGCACUUCACUUUAUUGGAAUAUCCCAUAGCGCUCAGUAAGCUCAGCUGCUGGAGUCCUGAGGUCAGGAAGGUGAUGGGUGGAACCACUGUGGCUUCUUGCGCUGCAGAAGCUCGUUGGCAAGAGUGAGACAAGGAUUUCAAGAACAACCAAGUCAAGUCAUGGAUUUUCUAAUUUUAUGUAUAUGGAAUAUAUUUUUAAAUAGAGAUUUUUCUACUCUAGAUAAAGUGUUAAUACUGCUAUUCCCUAGGUUAAGCACGACUGUCGUGCUAGUAAAAAAGAAAGGAAAGGAGAACCAUCAUUGCUUUAAAAUAGAUUAAAUCAAUUUAAAUUUCAUCAUUACUGUGCAAAUUUCACCAUCAUUUACAUACUGGAAUUUAUAACUGUAAAUUAUUAUUUUCUUAAAUAGUGUUGUAAUGCCUUUUUUAUUUGUGAAUAAAAUUGUCACCUGGUAUUCUUA